rnacentral:lncRNA from 1 species
AGAAAAAAACAAAAAUUCAUGUUUAGACUUUUUUUUUAAUUACAAAAUCAACUUUCAUAGGGUAAAAAAAAUUGACUCAUGCCUCCAGAAUGAGAAACGGGAUGGAAUUCAGAAGAUCCUUUUUCAUAUGAGGGUGUCCUUGAUGUCCAGACAUCCAGUAUAGACAUUCAGGGAAAUUGUUCUAGCUGUGCUUUCAGGUGCCCACCCUGCCCACUCCCAUUUUGGAUAAAAUGCCCCAGCCACAGCACCUGCUGUGGUGAUCAUCAAUUCACAGGUUCAGCUGCUGUCAUCGCAGAGGGUUGAACUAGGCAUACUCAGUGCCCAAAAUCAAAAGAGCAAAACAGUUUAUAAGAGAGGGAGACAGAGACUGACUGCUUAAGAGUCCUGGUAAGUCUGUAACUAUUUAAUUGAAUAUGUGCUAUGCCUGUUUCC